UCCGUAGGCGGUGUGGCAAGUCGGAAGUGAAAUCUCUGGGCUUAACUCAGAGGCUGCUCCCGAAACUGCCGUGCUAGAGUGCGAGAGAGGCGAGUGGAAUUGCGGGUGUAGCGGUGAAAUGCGUAGAUAUCCGCAGGAACAUCCGAGGCGAAAGCGGCUCGCUGGAUCGCAACUGACGCUGAGGGACGAAAGCUAGGGGAGCAAACAGGAUUAGAUACCCUGGUAGUCCUAGCCCUAAACCAUCAGGACUUGGGGUUUGCCCUGUACGGGGCAAGUCCCGUAGCUAACGCGUUAAGUCCUGCGCCUGGGGAGUACGGUCGCAAGGCUGAA
rnacentral:rRNA from 1 species